GUUUAAUUAAAAGGAACUGUAAGCUAUUAACAAAAGUAAAUUCACUUUAAAUUAUUAUUCCUCCUUAAAAGAAAUCUCCAAACAACAUUACAUCUUGCUACAGUGCCCGGGCAAUCCACGUCCUCCAUUGUACUGGGUCAAACCAUUGUAGAGCAGUAUAACGUCUGAUCUGAAGUCCAUGGAGUGUUGUACCCCACCGUUCCACAGUCAGUGAGUGAUUGAAGAGAAGGAGUAAAGCUGAUGGGUGCUGGUUUGAAAACGCUGGGGUAAACACACUGAGGUAAGCCAUCACUGGGACCUCCUUGACCAUUCCACCUUAAUUCUGAUGAAGUGUUCUUUUAA